AACGAACGCUGGCGGCAGGCCUAACACAUGCAAGUCGAGCGAAGCCUUCGGGCUUAGCGGCGGACGGGUGAGUAACGCGUGGGAACGUGCCCUUUGGUACGGAAUAGCCCCGGGAAACUGGGAGUAAUACCGUAUGUGGUCGAGAGACGAAAGAUUUAUCGCCAAAGGAUCGGCCCGCGUUGGAUUAGGUAGUUGGUGGGGUAAUGGCCUACCAAGCCGACGAUCCAUAGCUGGUGUGAGAGGAUGAUCAGCCACACUGGGACUGAGACACGGCCCAGACUCCUACGGGAGGCAGCAGUGGGGAAUCUUAGACAAUGGGGGAAACCCUGAUCUAGCCAUGCCGCGUGAUCGAUGAAGGCCUUAGGGUUGUAAAGAUCUUUCAGUGGGGAAGAUAAUGACUGUGCCCACAGAAGAAGCCCCGGCUAACUCCGUGCCAGCCGCCGCCGUAAUAC
rnacentral:rRNA from 1 species